rnacentral:rRNA from 1 species
UACAGAGGGGCAAGCGUUGUUCGGAAUUAUUGGGCGUAAAGAGCUUGUAGGCGGUUGUCGCGUCUGCCGUGAAAUCCGAGGCUCAACCUCGGACUUGCGGUGGGUACGGGCAGACUAGAGUGUGGUAGGGGAGACUGGAAUUCCUGGUGUAGGCGGUGAAAUGCGCAGAUAUCAGGAGGAACACCGGUGGCGAAGGCGGGUCUCUGGGCAGUAACUGACGCUGAGGAGCGAAAGCGUGGGGAGCGAACAGG